GUCACUUUGCCGGAGUGGUUAACGGGAUCGCCUGCUAGAAGCAUGACGUAAGUAAGCUUACGUAAGCGGUUGCUCUUUGAGCGCGUGUGUUCGAAUCGCACAGGUGACG